rnacentral:rRNA from 1 species
AGUGUAGGUGGUUGUCCAAGUUGGAUGUGAAAGCCUUGAGCUCAACUCAAGAAAUGCAUUCAGGACUGGGCGGCUAGAGGACCGGAGAGGAUAGUGGAAUUCCCAGUGUAGUGGUGAAAUACGUAGAGAUUGGGAAGAACACCAGUGGCGAAGGCGGCUAUCUGGACGGUUUCUGACACUAAGACUCGAAAGCGUGGGAGCAAACA